CGGGGUAUAGCGCAGCCUGGUAGCGCAUCUGGUUUGGGACCAGAGGGUCCGGUGUUCGAAUCACCGUACCCCGACCA
rnacentral:tRNA from 1 species